UAUCUUGCAUUUCAUUUUCAUUUUCCCCUCCAUUUUUCUCAAUACUAUAUUAAAAUUUAAAUAUGUUGAGAAAGGUGGAGGAAAAAAUGAAAAUGAAAUGCAAUAUU